UUUUUUCUCGAAAGUAAAAGAUCUAAAUAAGUUUGUUAGUUUUUGUGUCAAAAAAAUUAAGUAGGCUUUUUUAGGUGUGAGAUGCUAAUCGUUUUUACUAAUAUCUGGUAACUUUAGAAAGAAAUUUAGUUUGGGUUAUAAAAAGGGUCUUUUUAUUAUAAAGAAGUCUUUUAUAUAAACUUAUAUUCUAGGGGAUGAGCUCUAGAAUAAAUUUAAAAGGAAAGAAAAUUUUACGUUUUUGGUAGGCUUAGAAUUUGUCACGAGAUAGUGUUAUAAGAUAGAAUAGAAAGGUUAAGAUUUAGUUUUCUUUGGAGUUUAUAAAGUUAAUAUAAUAACGGUAAAGUUGUUGAAAAUAUGAUAGUAUAAGUAGAUAAAGAAAUUUUGGAGAAGAUUUGAAUUUUCCAUGGUUUUUAUGAAUUAAGGUUUUUGGCAAAAGAACUCGGCAAAUAAGAUUUCCGAAUGUUUAACAAAAACAUUUCCUCUCAGAAAGGGGAGGUAAGGCCUGCUCACUGAAUUUUGAAGAGCCGCAGUAUCCUGACUGUGCUAAGGUAGCAUAAUCAUUAGUCUUUUAAUUGGAGACUGGUAUGAAUGGCUAAACGAGAAAUCAGCUUUUUUUGCCAUAGAAAUUGAAUUUAAUUUUUUAGUGAAAAAGCUAAAAUUUUUCAGAAAGACGAGAAGACCCUAUAGAGUUUUAUAUUUUGGAAAAUUUUUUUUUAGUGGAUCUUUUUGAAAAAAAUUUCCUGGAAAUAUUUUGUUGGGGCGACAUUUAGAUAAGUGAAACUCUUUAUUUUAAAGACUUUAUUCAAAGAAUAAAUUGAUCCUUUAGAAGAGAUCAUAAGAAAAAAUUACCUUAGGGAUAACAGCGUAAUCUUUUUUGAGAGUUCUAAUCGACAAAAAGGUUUGCGACCUCGAUGUUGGACUAAAAUUUAGACA
rnacentral:rRNA from 1 species